rnacentral:rRNA from 1 species
GACGAACGCUGGCGGCGUGCUUAACACAUGCAAGUCGAACGGAAAGGCCCUGCUUUUGUGGGGUGCUCGAGUGGCGAACGGGUGAGUAACACGUGAGUAACCUGCCCUUGACUUUGGGAUAACUUCAGGAAACUGGGGCUAAUACCGGAUAGGAGCUCCUGCUGCAGGGUGGGGGUUGGAAAGUUUCGGCGGUUGGGGGUGGACUCGCGGCUUAUCAGCUUGUUGGUGGGGUAGUGGCUUACCAAGGCUUUGACGGGUAGCCGGCCUGGGAGGGUGACCGGCCACAUUGCGACUGAGCUACGGCCCAGCCUCCUACGGGAGGCAGCAGUGGGGAAUAUUGCACAAUGGGCGGAAGCCUGAUGCAACAACGCCGCGUGCGGGAUGACGGCCUUCGGGUUGUAAACCGCUUUCGCCUGUGACGAAGCGUGAGUGACGGUAAUGGGUAAAGAAGCACCGGCUAACUACGUG